CUUUGCCGUCGUAAUCCCUCGCCUCCUCCCAGCCAUCGGAAGCACCAGCGGAGAAUAUGUGCACACACCACUUGUGCCCCGAACUGUUCUGGCCUAAAAAGUAGACAGCUAAGUUGCAUUAAGUAUAGAAACCAGGUGUGAAUUACUAUGUGUUUAUCUCACGUUUGCCACAGGAGAAGAGUACUUCAGGCUGGUUACCAUGGUUCAGCUGAUAGAAGCUAGGAGAAAAAAUGUUUAUGCGAAAAUUUGAAACACAAGUGUGGAAGUGGCUGAAUCCAGAAGGGGGGUCGGCAAA